AACGAACGCUGGCGGCAUGCCUAACACAUGCAAGUCGAACGAAGGCUUCGGCCUUAGUGGCGCACGGGUGCGUAACGCGUGGGAAUCUGCCCUUGGGUUCGGAAUAACUCAGAGAAAUUUGAGCUAAUACCGGAUGAUGACGUAAGUCCAAAGAUUUAUCGCCCAAGGAUGAGCCCGCGUAAGAUUAGCUAGUUGGUGGGGUAAAGGCCUACCAAGGCGACGACCUUUAGCUGGUCUGAGAGGAUGAUCAGCCACACUGGGACUGAGACACGGCCCAGACCCCUACGGGAGGCAGCAGUGGGGAAUAUUGGACAAUGGGCGAAAGCCUGAUCCAGCAAUGCCGCGUGAGUGAUGAAGGCCUUAGGGUUGUAAAGCUCUUCUACCAGGGAUGAUAAUGACAGUACCUGGAGAAUAAGCUCCGGCUAACUCCGUG
rnacentral:rRNA from 1 species